rnacentral:rRNA from 1 species
UACGUAGGGUGCAAGCGUUGUCCGGAAUUAUUGGGCGUAAAGAGCUCGUAGGCGGUUCGUCGCGUCGGCUGUGAAAACCCGGAGCUCAACUCCGGGCCUGCAGUCGAUACGGGCGGACUUGAGUUCGGCAGGGGAGACUGGAAUUCCUGGUGUAGCGGUGAAAUGCGCAGAUAUCAGGAGGAACACCGGUGGCGAAGGCGGGUCUCUGGGCCGAUACUGACGCUGAGGAGCGAAAGCGUGGGGGAGCGAACAGG